rnacentral:rRNA from 1 species
GAUGAACGCUAGCGGCAGGCUUAACACAUGCAAGUCGAGGGGCAGCACAGGUGGCAACACCGGGUGGCGACCGGCGUAAGGGUGCGUAACACGUGAGCAACAUACCCGUAUCUGGAGGAUAACCGGAGGAAACUCUGCCUAAUACUCCAUAAUAUCAUCGUACGGCAUCGUUUGGUGAUUAAAGAUUUAUCGGACACGGAUUGGCUCGCGGGACAUUAGCUUGUUGGUGGGGUAACGGCUCACCAAGGCCACGAUGUCUAGGGGUUCUGAGAGGAAGGUCCCCCACACUGGAACUGAGACACGGUCCAGACUCCUACGGGAGGCAGCAGUGAGGAAUAUUGGACAAUGGUCGGAAGACUGAUCCAGCCAUGCCGCGUGAAGGUUACUGUCCUAUGGAUAUUAAACUUCUUUUGUAUGAGAGCAAUAAGGUCACGUGUGCACCGAUGAGGUAUCAUACGAAUAAGCAUCGGCUAAC